rnacentral:misc_RNA from 1 species
AACGCACAUUGCGCCCAUCAGCAUUCUGGUGGGCAUGCCUGUUCGAGCGUCAUUUCAACCCUUAAGCCCUCGUUGCUUAGUGUUGGGAGCCUACGGGGUCACACCCGUAGCUCCCCAAAGACAGUGGCGGAGUCGGUCUCGCACUCCAGACGUAGUAAAUCUCAUCUCGUCUGCGGUCGUACCGGUGUCCUGCCGUGAAACACCCCAAUUUCUCAAGGUUGACCUCGGAUCAGGUAGGAAUACCCGCUGAACUUAA